UACGGAGGGGGCUAGCGUUGUUCGGAAUUACUGGGCGUAAAGCGCACGUAGGCGGACCAGCAAGUUGGGGGUGAAAUCCCGGGGCUCAACCCCGGGACUGCCUUCAAAACUGCGGGUCUGGAGGUCGAGAGAGGUGAGUGGAAUUCCGAGUGUAGAGGUGAAAUUCGUAGAUAUUCGGAGGAACACCAGUGGCGAAGGCGGCUCACUGGCUCGAUACUGACGCUGAGGUGCGAAAGCGUGGGGAGCAAACAGG
rnacentral:rRNA from 1 species